UAAGCGCACAGGGCCGCAUGGUCCGGUGUGAAAAACUCCGGUGGUGUAAGAUGGACCCGCGUCUGAUUAGGUAGUUGGCGGGGUAACGGCCCACCAAGCCGACGAUCAGUAGCCGACCUGAGAGGGUGACCGGCCACAUUGGGACUGAGACACGGCCCAAACUCCUACGGGAGGCAGCAGUGGGGAAUGUUGGACAAUGGGCGAAAGCCUGAUCCAGCGACGCCGCGUGAGUGAAGAAGUAUUUCGGUAUGUAAAGCUCUAUCAGCAGGGAAGAAAAUGACGGUACCUGACUAAGAAGCCCCGGCUAACUACGUGCCAGCAGCCGCGGUAAUACGUAGGGGGCAAGCGUUAUCCGGAUUUACUGGGUGUAAAGGGAGCGUAGACGGUUUAGCAAGUCUGAAGUGAAAGCCCGGGGCUCAACCCCGGUACUGCUUUGGAAACUGUUAGACUUGAGUGCAGGAGAGGUAAGUGGAAUUCCUAGUGUAGCGGUGAAAUGCGUAGAUAUUAGGAGGAACACCAGUGGCGAAGGCGGCUUACUGGACUG
rnacentral:rRNA from 1 species